rnacentral:rRNA from 1 species
UGGGGAAUAUCUGCGCAAUGGGGGGAACCCUGACGCAGCCAUGCCGCGUGAAUGAAGAAGGCCUUAGGGUUGUAAAGUUCUUUCGGUAUUGAGGAAGGUUGAUGUGUUAAUAGCACAUCAAAUUGACGUUAAAUACAGAAGAAGCACCGGCUAACUCCGUGCCAGCAGCCGCGGUAAUACGGAGGGUGCGAGCGUUAAUCGGAAUAACUGGGCGUAAAGGGCACGCAGGCGGUUAUUUAAGUGAGGUGUGAAAGCCCCGGGCUUAACCUGGGAAUUGCAUUUCAGACUGGGUAACUAGAGUACUUUAGGGAGGGGUAGAAUUCCACGUGUAGCGGUGAAAUGCGUAGAGAUGUGGAGGAAUACCGAAGGCGAAGGCAGCCCCUUGGGAAUGUACUGACGCUCAUGUGCGAAAGCGUGGGGAGCAAACAGGAUUAGAUACCCUGGUAGUCCACGCUGUAAACGCUGUCGAUUUGGGGGUUGGGGUUUAACUCUGGCGCCCGUAGCUAACGUGAUAAAUCGACCGCCUGGGGAGUACGGCCGCAAGGUUA